rnacentral:rRNA from 1 species
AUUGAACGCUGGCGGCAGGCCUAACACAUGCAAGUCGAGCGGAUGAAGGGAGCUUGCUCCUGGAUUCAGCGGCGGACGGGUGAGUAAUGCCUAGGAAUCUGCCUGGUAGUGGGGGAUAACGUCCGGAAACGGGCGCUAAUACCGCAUACGUCCUGAGGGAGAAAGUGGGGGGUCUUCGGACCUCACGCUAUCAGAUGAGCCUAGGUCGGAUUAGCUAGUUGGUGGGGUAAAGGCCUACCAAGGCGAGGAUCCGUAACUGGUCUGAGAGGAUGAUCAGUCACACUGGAACUGAGACACGGUCCAGACUCCUACGGGAGGCAGCAGUGGGGAAUAUUGGACAAUGGGCGAAAGCCUGAUCCAGCCAUGCCGCGUGUGUGAAGAAGGUCUUCGGAUUGUAAAGCACUUUAAGUUGGGAGGAAGGGCAGUAAGUUAAUACCUUGCUGUUUUGACGUUACCAACAGAAUAAGCACCGGCUAACUUCGUG